UCCAGCUUAUCGCUGGCGGUCUCCUGAGAGUUCCCAACUAAAUGAUGGCAACACAGGACAAGGGUUGCGCUCGUUGCGGGACUUAACCCAACAUCUCACGACACGAGCUGACGACAGCCAUGCAGCACCUCGACUACAGUCUCUUGCGAGAAGUCCCUGUUUCCAAGGAUUGUCCAUAGCCGUUCGAGCCCAGGUAAGGUGGGGAUGACGUGUAACCGAAUCU
rnacentral:misc_RNA from 1 species